GCGCCUGCGACCCGCCUUGCGGAAGGAUCCUAGCAGCCAACUAUGGCUACUGUCGCGGAGCAGCUGGGGCUGGUGGAGAUGGUACAGGCGCUCUAUGAGUUGAGCUUGGCGGCCCGCGCGGCCCGGGACCACACUGAGCCCCCGGGAAGUGGGACGUUUCGAGUGGGUUCAUGGUCGGAGGCCUGGGCGGUGCUGGCUAGGGUCACGCCCGGACUCUCGGCGUCGGUCGCUGGAAGGGCUCCCGGGGGCACACGCUUCCCGGCGACGGAGUAUAGGGAGAGGCUCGGGUGGGAGCCGGAAACGGGAGUCCGGUUUUGCGCUCUGGCGAACGCAGAGCCUUCUCUAAGUCCUGUCAGAUGCAGAGAGGCUGGUCAAGAACCAGAGUUGGGACUGACGGUAAAACGGGAUGGUGAAAAUAGAGUGGAAAAACCUCAAGUCCGCAGGGGUCCUAGGGAAGUAGGGUCCUUGGAACUGCGGAGCAGGUAACGGGAAAGAACUGUAAUGAGCUGGGGUUUGUUUUGGUCGGGAGCUGGAGUUCGAAUGGAAGACGAAUAAUUUAGGAAUGUGAAAGAAUUUGUCAUUCUUUCGCAUACGUCCCGUUUUCUAGCUUGUAAAGAUACCACUAUUUUAGUGAAUGUUUAAAGGAAGACUAGUUAGGAGGGUUUUUUUUUUGAAAGGCCAGCUAUUUCAGGUGUGUAAGAUAAUAUGAAAUCAAAAUAUCAGCAUUGGAGGAUGUUCAUUCAUUUGACAUUAGUGAAUUUCUCUGCUCUGUACAAUAGAACUUUCUGCGUGUUCUCUAUCUGAGCUGUUCAGUACAGUAGCUGCUAACCACAUGUGGCUAUUAAGUACUUGAAAUGUGGUUAGUGCAACUGAGGGCUGAAGUUUUUAUUUAACUUAGAUAUAUAUUUAAAUAGUUGAAUGGUGACUGGUGGCUACAGUAUUGGACAGCACAGGUCUAGAUGCUGGGAACAGUGCAGGGAACAAACAGGCAAAUGUCUCUGGACUUGUAGAACUUACAUUCAUUUAAAGUGAAUCUGUUUUCUUUUGAUAAUUUUUUUAAAGCUUAGUAUUGCUGUUUAUUGGCCGGGGUGAUGAUGCAAGACAUAUCAUUGGAAGACCUAUCAGGGCUUUUUGAAAAAACAGUUAAGAGAGCAAAUCUGGGGUUGUCCAACCUUAGGCUAAUUAAAAUGACUAAGAAGAGCCACUAAAAUUAAAGAUUUCUUUUUUUUUUUUUUUUUUAGAAAUGAGUAAUUUAUAUGUAUUGUUGCUGUCUUUUUGAAGACUGCCCUAUGGUUAUGUAACUUCUUAUACCCUGGUACUGACCAUGAGGGAGUCUUGAGAGAAUUUCUGCUGGAUGUAACAUUUCCUGGGGAAGAAAACAGGCUGCAUUUGUGAUUUUUAUUAGUUCACUGAACAUUUCAGCUUUUCUAAGGAUGAUUUUUCUGUGGAGUGGAAUGUUUAACUAGUGACUUGGACCUUUGUUUGCCCACUAGAAUCCAAUUAUUGAGAAAACCAAAAGGGUUUUUAGAGUCCUUAUUCUUGAAUUAUAUUCGGGAAGGAUCAGCAAUUUAAAAAAAUAAUCUUAGCUUUCUGUUCUUGCUUCUAAUUCCCGUACACCUUGUAUAUAGAAUUUGAAUAGUCUUGUUGUGUACCCAUACAUCUGUAACUUGAAUGUAGCUUGAAAUGUAUUUGUGCAUUGACCUGAAAGUUUAUAUAUGAAUUUGUCAGCAGUUUCCUUGUUCCUACUCUUGAGUGUUUUUUUUUUUAACUAUGGUGAAUCAUCAUCACUUUCUAUCUAAUGCUUGAAAAUAAUUUGUAAUUACAUUUCUAAAUACCUCUUUUAAGUGAUUUUCCAAUGACAACCUAUUGGAAUAUAGCACCCCAUAACUGACUGAUGGGGGGUUAGUUGAUACCUGGAAUCUUCCACAUGCACUUAUUGUGUCUAGUUGUAUAAAACAUAAAAGGCAGCCUGGCCUUUAUCCUGGAAUCGUACAGUUGAAAAGAAGACCUGACAUGGAUAAUUUCAUUAAGGAGGAUUUAAAGAGGCUUGUCAGGGAUCCAGAAGAUACAGUAAGAUGUGCAAAACUCUUUAAGAAUUGUGGAAACAGGUUUCCAGGCUCCUGCUUAUCAUCUUAUUUUGGAAGGAAUUUUAAUAUUCUGGAUAAUCAGACUUCUUUUUUCUAAAACUUACAAAUUACAAGAAUGAUCUGAUCUUACAGUCAAGGAAAAGGAAGAACUGAUUGAAGAGUGGCAGCCAGAGCCUCUUGUCCCUCCUGUCUCGAAAGACCAUCCUGCUCUCAACUACAGCAUCAUUUCAGGGAAUGAAGCAUUAUGCUGGAGAGGCUGUGGAGAAAGGGGAACCCUCCUACACUGCUGGUGGGAAUGCAGUUUGGUGCAGCCACUUGGAAAACAGUAUGGAGAUUCCUCAAGAGACUAGAAAUAGACUUAACGUAUGACCCAGGAAUCCCGCUCCUGGGCAUAUAUCCAGAAGGAGCCCUACUUCAGGAUGACACCUGCACCCCGAUGUUCAUAGCAGCACUAUCUUCAAUAGCCAAGACAUGGAAACAGCCUAAAUGUCCAUCAAUAGAUGAGUGAAUAAAGAAGAAGUGGUAUAUUUAUAUAAUGGAAUACUACUCGGCCAUAAAAAGCGACAACAUAACGCCAUUUGCAGCAACAUGGAUGCUCCUGGAGAAUGUCAUUCUAAGUGAACUGAGCCAGAAAGAAAGAAAAAUAUCACAUGAGAUCGCUCAUAUAUGGAAUCUAAAAAAAACAAAAACAAAAACAAAAACAAAAACGAACAAGCAAAGCAUAAAUACAAAACAGAAACAGACUCAUAGACAUAGACUACAAACUUGUGGUUGCCAAGGGGGUGAGGGGUGGGAAGGGAUACACGGGAUUUCAAAAUUGUAGAAUAGAUAAACAAGAUUAUACUGUAUAGCACAGGGAAAUAUACACAAGAUCUUAUGGUAGCUCACAGAGAAAAAAAUGUGACAAUGAAUAUAUAUACGUUCAUGGACAACUGAAAAACUGUGCUCUACGCUGGAAUUUGACACAACAUAAGAUGACUAUAAAUCAAUAAAAAAUGUUAAAAAAAAAAAAAAAAGAAAUGAAGCAUUACAAAUUACAGUCGACUCUUGAACAUCACGGGGCUUAGGGGCGCUGACCUGCAGUGCAGUCGAAAACCUGCGUGUAACUUAUAAUGAGUCCUCCAGACACACGGUUCCUCCAGGUAUGUGGUUCUGCAUCCACGGAUCCAGCCACCUGUGGAUGUAGUCCUGUAGCAUCACUAUUGAGAAAACUCUGUGUGUGAGUGGACCUGCGCAAUUCAAACCCAUGCUGCUCAGGGGUCACCUGUACAGUUGGAGAAACCCCCUCCCAUCUGUCACUUUCUUGCCACCCAGACGAGAGAGCCACUAGCUUGAAGUUGGUGGGUAUCUUUCUUUUGCUCAUGUUUGUGCUUUUACCACAUAGCCUAUUGCUGUGAAAGUACUGAGUAUUCUGUUUAAGAGUGUGUCCUCUUACUUCCGGUCUGAUCUAAGAGAGGCUUGUAUUCUUCAUUUGCGUGAAUAUCUCUGGUCUUAUGAAAGUUUUACUUGUUCUGAAAUCAAACUUACCAAUCAUUAAUGUUAAGGGAAUGAAAACUUUCCUACCACAAA